GGCUCAGUGGUAGAGCGCUCGCUUUGCAGCAUCAACUGAGAAUGCGAGAGGUCUUGGGUUCGAUCCCCAA
rnacentral:tRNA from 1 species